AACGAACGCUGGCGGCAGGCUUAACACAUGCAAGUCGAACGGGCGUAGCAAUACGUCAGUGGCAGACGGGUGAGUAACGCGUGGGAACAUACCCUUUGGUUCGGAAUAACUCAGGGAAACUUGAGCUAAUACCGGAUAAGUCCGUGAGGAGAAAGAUUUAUCGCCGAAGGAGUGGCCCGCGUCUGAUUAGCUAGUUGGUGAGGUAAUGGCUCACCAAGGCGACGAUCAGUAGCUGGUCUGAGAGGAUGAUCAGCCACACUGGGACUGAGACACGGCCCAGACUCCUACGGGAGGCAGCAGUGGGGAAUAUUGGACAAUGGGGGCAACCCUGAUCCAGCCAUGCCGCGUGAGUGAUGAAGGCCUUAGGGUUGUAAAGCUCUUUUGUCCGGGAAGAUAAUGACUGUACCGGAAGAAUAAGCCCCGGCUAACUCCGUGCCAGCCGCCGCGGUAAAAC
rnacentral:rRNA from 1 species